UUUGUAUUAUAUGUGUGUCGAUUUAAUUAAUCAAAUCUCCUAAAAAUAUUAGGGUUUGUUUUAUCGUCCGAAAAGGUAGUAUCUUAUCAAACUAUAUUUUCUAUUUUAUCGUGAAUUUAUUUAUUUGUUUUUCUUUUAUACUGCUAUAAACCCUAGCGUAUAUAUAUUUUUUUCCUAAGCACAUUAAAUAUGUAUUGAAAUUCAGGGACAAAUCAUGGGUCGUAUCCACGAACAGCUCUUCAAGAUGAGAUCACGAGCGAGAUUGCAGAGGAUGAGCUUUGGAAUAACUCAUGAUAUCUUUCUACAAUGUUCUUAAAACACCAAAGCUUAUAAGAUAUAGCUUUCUUCAAGUCUCUUAUUGCUUCCAGUGUCUCAUCCAUCAAAAGACAACAUAUGUGUCUCUUAUCUUUUGGAGCUGUCACAGCCUUCGCUUUUGGACUCACAAAUACCAGUUUCAAAUACAAUAAGAAGACUAAACCCUCAAGAAUAUUCCACUACGAAAAGAUCACUCCAAGAAAUUCGUUUGUUUUAUCCAACUCUGCUCUUUGAUUAGCGGAAAACAAAGAUACGUAGUCAAUGGAGUCUUUUAUAUGACAUGUUCGGAGAUUAGUCCUACCACUCGAUCUCAUAUUAUCUCCCGUCCUUUUAUUCCUCUAGGAACACCAUUAACAACAAGUCCUACCUGCCAAGACUGGUUGUUCGUGAUCAAAUUCGGUGGUAACUCAAGAGUUGUGAAGAUGGUAGCCUCCCCAUUGACCAGACUCGCGGAGACGGGGUUCGCAUGGAAGGUAAGGCUACCCCGUGAAUUGCGUGCCGUAUCAACUCACGAAGGAGGUAUAAGGCUGGAAUUGGCCACUUGAGUUGGUUAAGGCGACGAGCGCUUGCGUCCCAACCAUCUGAGUACUACUUGGGUUAAGUGUCCAAGCAAUCCAAGAAGAAGAAGAGGUUCCAUGGUGGCGAAAGGCGAUGGAAACGGUAUCGUUUGGUUCGUUGCAUAUCCAGUGGAGAUAAAAGAAUAAGGUCAAAGCUCGGCGAAGGCGAGGUUAUUGGAGAAACUGUGUGUGUCACAACCAAACUGAUAAGAAAAAAGUGUUGCCAACACGGGAACAUAGCUUGCUUUGGAGAUUGCGGUCGGUCCAUGUCUUUGUGUUCUAUUUUGAAGGUUGGGUGGGAUUUAUGAGAGUUACGAGGCUUUAAAGAGAUAUAUAGAAACGCAAACACUGAUGCCUUUUUAAAGACUACGAAAGUUGGAAGCUGUUCUUUGUUGACUUUUUUGCCCGUCUUGUAUCUUUCGCUUUUCUAGAUGUGAUAUGAUAAAAGCAUAACAUUCAUAUUUCUAAAAUUUAAAGUUCUUUUUAAGAACAUGAUUAUAGUAUG